AAGCGGUGGAUGAUGUGGUUAAUUCGAUGCAACGCGAAAACCUUACCCACCUUUGACAUGUACGGAACUCGCCAGAGAUGGCUUGGUGCUCGAAAGAGAACCGUAACACAGGUGCUGCAUGGCUGUCGUCAGCUCGUGUCGUGAGAUGUUGGGUUAAGUCCCGCAACGAGCGCAACCCUUGUCAUUAGUUGCUACAUUCAGUUGGGCACUCUAAUGAGACUGCCGGUGACAAACCGGAGGAAGGUGGGGAUGACGUCAAGUCCUCAUGGCCCUUAUAGGUGGGGCUACACACGUCAUACAAUGGAUGGUACAAAGGGUCGCCAACCCGCGAGGGGGAGCCAAUCCCAUAAAGCCAUUCGUAGUCCGGAUCGCAGUCUGCAACUCGACUGCGUGAAGUCGGAAUCGCUAGUAAUCGUAGAUCAGAAUGUCACGGUGAAUACGUUCCCGGGUCUU
rnacentral:rRNA from 1 species